rnacentral:ncRNA from 10 species
AUCGUUCAUCUCUAUUAGGAGACGGAAGUAGACAAAAGUUGAAGGAACGCGCU